rnacentral:rRNA from 1 species
GAUGAACGCUGGCGGCGUGCCUAAUACAUGCAAGUCGAGCGAACGGACGAGACGCUUGCUUCUCUGAUGUUAGCGGCGGACGGGUGAGUAACACGUGUAUAACCUCCCUAUAUUACUGGGAUAACUUCGGGACACCGGAGCUAAUACCGUAUAAUCUUUUGAACCGCAUGGUUCAAAAGUGAAAUACGGUCUUGCUGUCACUUCUAGCUGGAUCCGCGCUGCAUUAGCUAGUUGGUAAGGUAACGGCUUACCAAGGCAACGAUGCAUAGACGACCUGAGAGGGUGAUAGGCCACACGGGAACUGAGACACGGUCCAGACUACUACGGGAGGCAGCAGAAGGGAAUGUGACGCAAUGGGCGAAAGCAUGACGGAGCAACGCCGAGUGAGUGACGAAGGUCUUCGGAUCGUAAAACUCUGUUAUGAGGGAAGAACAGAUGUGGAAGGAAAUGUGCACAGAGUGACGGUACCUAAUAAGAAAGCAACGGCUAACUACGUG